GGGGUGUGGUGUUUGAGAACUGGAUAGUGGUUGCGAGCAUCUAAAUGGAUGCACUGCCUGCGUGGUGGUGUGUCCAUUAAAUGUGUAAUUUUUCUUUGGUUUUU
rnacentral:misc_RNA from 1 species